GAUGAACGCUGGCGGCGUGCCUAACACAUGCAAGUCGAACGAGGUCCAAGGGAGCUUGCUCCCUGACGACCUAGUGGCGAACGGGUGAGUAACACGUGAGAAACCUGCCUCGGAGUGGGGAAUAACUCGGGGAAACUCGAGCUAAUACCGCAUACCUUCACAUGAUCGCAUGGUCGAGUGAAGAAAGAAUUUCGCUCUGAGAGGGUCUCGCGGCCUAUCAGCUUGUUGGUGGGGUAACGGCCUACCAAGGCAACGACGGGUAGCUGGUUUGAGAGAACGAUCAGCCACACUGGGACUGAGACACGGCCCAGACUCCUACGGGAGGCAGCAGUGGGGAAUCUUGCGCAAUGGGCGAAAGCCUGACGCAGCAACGCCGCGUGCGGGAUGACGGCCUUCGUGGUUGUAAACCGCUUUCAGCAGGGACGAAAAUGACGGUACCUGCAGAAGAAGCCCCGGCUAACUACGUGCCAGCCGCCGCAGUAAUAC
rnacentral:rRNA from 1 species